AUGAAGUAGAAGGCAGCUUGGGAAAACCACGGGUUGUAACAGUGUGGUGCCUUAUAAAGGAAGAAGCAGUACCAAGGUCACUCAUCAGAGUAAUAUCUUCAAAAAUGAGCUAUACCAUGAAAGGACUGCUAAAACUGAUGUAGCAAUGAACUCUGUGGUAUUUGCUAGCCCACAGUUCCUGUCUUAUUUGUACAUUUCAAAAAACUAAAUGGAGGAAAUUAUAAGAAAGACAGAAAUGCAUAACCCUAUUUCAUCUGAAACACUUCAAGUGCACAAAUUUCUGGAGCAACUUAACCUUCAAAUUUGAGUGAACGGAUCCUUGGAUAAUUGAGUGGGUUGUAAGACUGGUUUUCUUCUGUUUGUUCUGUUUUGCUAUGUUUCUGCUGUAAGGUACAAUGACCAAGCACACUUAAUAGAUAUCCACAUUACUUGAGAUGCAAUCGACUUCACAGCUAUUCAUACAGUUUGCUAUCAUAACUUAAAUAAACAUGGCCAUGUCUUCAAAAUAUCAUAAUCAUAUUGUCCAAAUUUUUAAUGUCAUCAUCCUCAUAGAUUUUCAGUCAUUGAGUAUGUAUUCAGGUUUUUGCAAACACCAUUUCUUCAGAUAGUGUAAACUGGUAUGUGCCUAGCUCUAAGCCCUGCUAGCAGAGCUUUUCCCUGCUCCCCACACAUAAAAGGAGAUGCUUUUUUAUCUGUAGAUUCUACAAGGCACUUCUUUGUCAAAUCUGUACUCAGUGGGGGAGGAAUAGAUACGUAGCCUGUUUUUCACCAGAUGUUAAUCUCAGGUCACUAGGAUCUAUCACCUGUGACCUGAGGCUCCCAAAAAAGUUAUUACAGAUAAAAGGGAAGAGACUUGCUUAAAUAAAAGAGGCUUUUCACUUCAGCAGUAGUAAAUGGACAUGAUAAAAACUGGAAUCUUUCAUAUGCUGAAAUGAAGAUACAGAAUGUGUAUUUCCCCUCAAAGUUGCUGCACAAGUAGCACUUCUGUAAUGAACUUUUGUGGUCAGUAUUAAUAACUUAAGGAAAUUUUUCUCUAUUUGAAUUCUGGAGGAGACAGAGUCUACAUAAGGACUUGCCUUCUUCAGAACUGAUGGCAGAGCAUUUGUAUUGAAAAGCCAUCAUUAGAACUUAGUUUUUCAACAGCGACUAAUCACCUAAUAAGAAAAAACAAUCUUCAUAGUGAAAAUAUACCAAAAAAAAUGUAUUUUAGUGUAUUUUUGUAUCCUGAUUUAUUGAGUGAGAGGUUCCACUAGCAGUCGUAUGAAAACAUUUUCAGCAUCAUUUAUUAUUGUACAUAAUCUAAUUUACUAUCUAAAUGUGUUUAGAAUGCAAGUGUGCUGUGCUUACUGUGAGACCUGGAAAAAAUCAGCAAUGCAACCAUAUCUGAAAUUAGAACCUGUAUGAAAAGUAUGUCUUAAUGUUUCUUCAGUUUAAAACCAGUUUUAGAUUUUUCUGAAUUUGAGAAGUCAUUAAGAUAA